CCUACGGGAGGCAGCAGUGGGGAAUAUUGCACAAUGGGGGGAACCCUGAUGCAGCGACGCCGCGUGAGUGAAGAAGUAUUUCGGUAUGUAAAGUUCUAUCAGUAGGGAAGAAGAUGACGGUAUCUGACUAAUAAGCCCCGGCUAACUACGUGCCAGCAGCCGCGGUAAUACGUAGGGGGCAAGCGUUAUCCGGAUUUACUGGGGGUAAAGGGCGCGUAGACGGGAGGGCAAGUCUGGAGUGAAAGCCCAGGGCCCAACCAUGGGACUGCUUUUGAAACUGUCAUUCUAGAGUGUUGGAGAGGGAAGCGGAAUUCUUGGUGUAGCGGUAAAAUGCGUAGAGAUUAAGAGGAACACCAGUGGCGAAGGCGGCUUACUAGAAAAUAACUGACGUUGAGGCGCGAAAGCGUGGGGAGCAAACAGGAUUAGAUACCCUGGUAGUC
rnacentral:rRNA from 1 species